rnacentral:lncRNA from 1 species
GGGUGGCAGAGGUUAGGGAAAAAUCAGGAGAGGCUGUAGGCUACUGUUCAUCUAGGAUGGCAGAGUUUAGUGAAGAAGAGGAAGACACUGUACGCUACUGUUGUUCUACGAUAGAAGAUGUUCCUGAAGAAAUAAAAGAGGCUAUAGCCUACUUUUGCUCUAAGAUGGCGGAGAUUAACAAGGAGCCAGAAGGGAAUAUAGGCCACCAUUGCUACAUUAUCCCAAAGGUUACCAAAGAAGUAGGAGAAGCUAGUUCAGACAUGCCUGAACCAUCCACAAGCACAAGCCAAGAAAAUCCCAGCAUGAAAUGGAGAAAGAAAACUACUUGUGAAGCUGAAGAAGGUGAAAUUGAGGAGUGUUGAAGGCAGCAAAGAAGAUAAGAUCAUUUGUUCAGCAGAAUUCAGAAAGACGUAAAGCGGGGAAAAAGUCAACUGUAUUAAUUUUUUAUUACCACAGUAAUAAAAAAAGGGAUGAAAAUCAGCCAAAUGAGGAUGAAGACAGCCACGAGUAAUCUCCCACCUCAAGUGAUUCUGAGAGCUCAUCAGAAGACCAAGACCUAUCUCAUCUCUAGGUUAACCUCUAGAAAUGGUCUCCUGUGCAGAGAAACUACAUAUUGCACCAAGAUUCUUGGAUGUUGGUGAUUAAAAUUCAAC